rnacentral:rRNA from 1 species
UACAGAGGGUGCGAGCGUUAAUCGGAGUUACUGGGCGUAAAGGGCGCGUAGGCGGUUGCUCAAGUAAGAUGUGAAAUCCCCGGGCUUAACCUGGGAACAGCAUUUUAGACUGAGUAACUGGAGUACAGUAGAGGGUGGUGGAAUUUCCGGUGUAGCGGUGAAAUGCGUAGAGAUCGGAAGGAACAUCAGUGGCGAAGGCGACCACCUGGACUGAAACUGACGCUGAGGCGCGAAAGCGUGGGGAGCAAACAGG